UGUUCUCUCCCAUCCUCCGUACGUGCAGCCAUAGAAAUCUACAUUGCAUAGAAUAAUUAAAAUACAUAAUGGUAGAAUAAGUUUAUACUUAUAAGGGAUUAUUUGGGCUAUAAAAUCUUCAACAACAGCAGGUACGGAAACUGAGAGCAAAUAAGAAGUGCUGAGAUGUUAAAAACUAGGUGUUCAGGCUCUCCAGACUCCCGCUCAGUUUGAAGAAGCUGAUCAUCUUUAGUCAUCUUUACACACACCAAAAACAAAGAGCCUAGUGACAUUGCUCAGGAAAGAUACAACAAUGCCUUGACCCACACAAGGUCGAUAAAAGAGAGGACCAUCGGACAGCUGAAACGCAGGUUUCACUGCCUGCACAGCGAGCUGCGUGUUGAGCCUCAAAGGGCUUGCAAAAUUAUUGUAGCCUGUGUUGUGCUCUUCAACAUUUCGAAGAUGUAUUAUGCCAUCGAAGAGGAGAAUGAGCACGAGGAAGAACAGGGUCCUGAAGAAGUGCAACCGAUCCAUGAAGAUUUCCAGCAGGCUGGAUAUGCUGCCUGAGAUGCCAUCGUCAAUGCAUUCUUUAAUUAGUAGC